AGAACAGCUCUUAUAGAAUUGAUUAAAGAAGAGCAAAUUCAGGUAUGCUUUUUACAAGAGACCCAUUGGGUGCAGUCGGAUAGAAAAGUUUAUUUAGGUAAGCAAAAGGUGGUACUGAUUAGGGCAUCGAUGGAGGGGGGGAAAUAGAGGGGUCGCCAUAUGGAUAGUGAAAGGCAUUUCUUAUGAGAAAAUAUACCAGGAAUGGAUCCUCAGGCCAGAUUUAUCACUUUAAUAUGUAAACUCGAUAAUGUUCUAUACACUCUGGUUAAUAUAUGUACAGCCAAUAUUGGAAAAGUGACCUUUGUG